GGACACCUUUGCAGCGCAUAAUGAGAUGAGAAGGGUAUGUGUCGACUUGUCUAACUCAGGGGGUAACGAUGAAUGAGAAAAAGUCCCAAUAAGUCGGCAUGUUCCUUUAA